rnacentral:rRNA from 4 species
AGAGUUUGAUCAUGGCUCAGAUUGAACGCUGGCGGCAGGCCUAACACAUGCAAGUCGAACGGUAACAGGAAACAGCUUGCUGUUUCGCUGACGAGUGGCGGACGGGUGAGUAAUGUCUGGGAAACUGCCUGAUGGAGGGGGAUAACUACUGGAAACGGUAGCUAAUACCGCAUAAUGUCGCAAGACCAAAGAGGGGGACCUUCGGGCCUCUUGCCAUCGGAUGUGCCCAGAUGGGAUUAGCUGGUAGGUGGGGUAACGGCUCACCUAGGCGACGAUCCCUAGCUGGUCUGAGAGGAUGACCAGCCACACUGGAACUGAGACACGGUCCAGACUCCUACGGGAGGCAGCAGUGGGGAAUAUUGCACAAUGGGCGCAAGCCUGAUGCAGCCAUGCCGCGUGUAUGAAGAAGGCCUUCGGGUUGUAAAGUACUUUCAGCGGGGAGGAAGGGAGUAAAGUUAAUACCUUUGCUCAUUGACGUUACCCGCAGAAGAAGCACCGGCUAACUCCGUGCCAGCAGCCGCGGUAAUACGGAGGGUGCAAGCGUUAAUCGGAAUUACUGGGCGUAAAGCGCACGCAGGCGGUUUGUUAAGUCAGAUGUGAAAUCCCCGGGCUCAACCUGGGAACUGCAUCUGAUACUGGCAAGCUUGAGUCUCGUAGAGGGGGGUAGAAUUCCAGGUGUAGCGGUGAAAUGCGUAGAGAUCUGGAGGAAUACCGGUGGCGAAGGCGGCCCCCUGGACGAAGACUGACGCUCAGGUGCGAAAGCGUGGGGAGCAAACAGGAUUAGAUACCCUGGUAGUCCACGCCGUAAACGAUGUCGACUUGGAGGUUGUGCCCUUGAGGCGUGGCUUCCGGAGCUAACGCGUUAAGUCGACCGCCUGGGGAGUACGGCCGCAAGGUUAAAACUCAAAUGAAUUGACGGGGGCCCGCACAAGCGGUGGAGCAUGUGGUUUAAUUCGAUGCAACGCGAAGAACCUUACCUGGUCUUGACAUCCACGGAAGUUUUCAGAGAUGAGAAUGUGCCUUCGGGAACCGUGAGACAGGUGCUGCAUGGCUGUCGUCAGCUCGUGUUGUGAAAUGUUGGGUUAAGUCCCGCAACGAGCGCAACCCUUAUCCUUUGUUGCCAGCGGUCCGGCCGGGAACUCAAAGGAGACUGCCAGUGAUAAACUGGAGGAAGGUGGGGAUGACGUCAAGUCAUCAUGGCCCUUACGACCAGGGCUACACACGUGCUACAAUGGCGCAUACAAAGAGAAGCGACCUCGCGAGAGCAAGCGGACCUCAUAAAGUGCGUCGUAGUCCGGAUUGGAGUCUGCAACUCGACUCCAUGAAGUCGGAAUCGCUAGUAAUCGUGGAUCAGAAUGCCACGGUGAAUACGUUCCCGGGCCUUGUACACACCGCCCGUCACACCAUGGGAGUGGGUUGCAAAAGAAGUAGGUAGCUUAACCUUCGGGAGGGCGCUUACCACUUUGUGAUUCAUGACUGGGGUGAAGUCGUAACAAGGUAACCGUAGGGGAACCUGCGGUUGGAUCACCU